rnacentral:rRNA from 1 species
AGUGGCGGACGGGUGAGUAACGCGUGAGAAUCUGCCUUGGGGUCGGGGACAACCACUGGAAACGGUGGCUAAUACCGGAUACGCCUUCGGGUAAAAGAUUUAUUGCCCUAAGAGGAGCUCGCGUCUGAUUAGCUAGUUGGUGAGGUAAGAGCUCACCAAGGCAGCGAUCAGUAGCUGGUCUGAGAGGACGAUCAGCCACACCGGGACUGAGACACGGCCCAGACUCCUACGGGAGGCAGCAGUGGGGAAUUUUCCGCAAUGGGCGAAAGCCUGACGGAGCAAGACCGCGUGAGGGAGGAAGGCUCUUGGGUUGUAAACCUCUUUUCUCAGGGAAGAAGCUCUGACGGUACCUGAGGAAUCAGCCUCGGCUAACUCCGUGCCAGCAGCCGCGGUAAUACGGAGGAGGCAAGCGUUAUCCGGAAUUAUUGGGCGUAAAGCGUCCGCAGGUGGCGAUUCAAGUCUGCUGUCAAAGCACGGGGCUUAACUCCGUAAAGGCAGUGGAAACUGAAUAGCUAGAGUGCCGUAGGGGUAGAGGGAAUUCCCGGUGUAGCGGUGAAAUGCGUAGAGAUCGGGAAGAACAUCGGUGGCGAAAGCGCUCUACUGGACGGCAACUGACACUCAGGGACGAAAGCUAGGGGAGCGAAUGGGAUUAGAUACCCC